UUUGAUCCUGGCUCAGGAUGAACGCUGGCGGCGUGCCUAACACAUGCAAGUCGAACGGGAGCUUCGGCUCCAGUGGCGGACGGGUGAGUAACGCGUGAGAAUCUACCUUCAGGAUGGGGACAACCGUUGGAAACGACGGCUAAUUCCCAAUGUGCCGAGAGGUGAAAGGUUUCGACCGCCUGAAGAGGAGCUCGCGUCCGAUUAGUUUGUUGGUGGGGUAAGAGCUCACCAAGGCAGCGAUCGGUAGCUGGUCUGAGAGGAUGAGCAGCCACACUGGGACUGAGACACGGCCCAGACUCCUACGGGAGGCAGCAGUGGGGAAUUUUCCGCAAUGGGCGAAAGCCUGACGGAGCAACGCCGCGUGUGGGAAGAAGGCUCUUGGGCUGUCAACCACUUUUCUCAGGGAAGAAGUUCUGACGGUACCUGAGGAAUCAGCCUCGGCUAACUCCGUGCCAGCAGCCGCGGUAAUACGGAGGAGGCAAGCGUUAUCCGGAAUUAUUGGGCGUAAAGCGUCCGCAGGGGGCUCAUCAAGUCUGCUGUUAAAGGUCGGAGCUUAACUCCGAUACAGCAGUGGAAACUGAUGGGCUAGAGGGCGACA
rnacentral:rRNA from 1 species